GGUCUCUUAGUUUAACGGUAAAACUAUGGAUCUUCAUUCUAUAGACGGGGGUUCGACUCCCCCAGAGAUCA